GCUGGCGGCAGGCCUAACACAUGUCAAGUCGAACGGAGUUAUAUUGUAGCUUGCUAUGGUAUAACUUAGUGGCAGACGGGUGAGUAAUGUAUAGGAAUCUACCUAGUAGUACGGAAUAAUUGUUGGAAACGGCAACUAAUACCGUAUACGCCCUACGGGGGAAAAAUUUAUUGCUAUUAGAUGAGCCUAUAUUAGAUUAGCUAGUUGGUGGAGUAAUAGCCUACCAAGGCAAUGAUCUAUAGCUGAUCUGAGAGGAUGAUCAGCCACACUGGAACUGAGAUACGGUCCAGACUCCUACGGGAGGCAGCAGUGGGGAAUAUUGGACAAUGGGCGAAAGCCUGAUCCAGCCAUGCCGCAUGAGUGAAGAAGGCCUUUGGGUUGUAAAGCUCUUUUAGUGAGGAAGAUAAUGACGGUACUCACAGAAGAAGUCCUGGCUAACUCCGUGCCAGCAGCCGCGGUAAUACGGAGAGGGCUAGCGUUAUUCGGAAUUAUUGGGCGUAAAGGGCGCGUAGGCGGAUUAGUAAGUUAAAAGUGAAAUCCCAAGGCUCAACCUUGGAAUUGCUUUUAAAACUGCUAAUCUAGAGAUUGAAAGAGGAUAGAGGAAUUCCUAGUGUAGAGGUGAAAUUCGUAAAUAUUAGGAGGAACACCAGUGGCGAAGGCGUCUAUCUGGUUCAAAUCUGACGCUGAUGCGCGAAGGCGUGGGGAGCAAACAGGAUUAGAUACCCUGGUAGUCCACGCUGUAAACGAUGAAUUGUUAAAUAUGG
rnacentral:rRNA from 1 species